GCAUCUAUGGAGCAGCAGUUUAGCUCAUUCCCCUCCCACUCUCGAGUAUUAAUUCGGAUGAGGGCGAGGGAAAGACCCGGGUGCGAAUCCCGGUGGGUGCA